CCGCGGUAAUACGUAGGGCGCGAGCGUUGUCCGGAAUUAUUGGGCGUAAAGAGCUUGUAGGCGGUUUGUCGCGUCUGCUGUGAAAGGCCGGAGCUUAACUCCGUGUAUUGCAGUGGGUACGGGCAGACUAGAGUGCAGUAGGGGAGACUGGAAUUCCUGGUGUAGCGGUGGAAUGCGCAGAUAUCAGGAGGAACACCGAUGGCGAAGGCAGGUCUCUGGGCUGUAACUGACGCUGAGAAGCGAAAGCAUGGGGAGCGAACAGGAUUAGAUACCCUGGUAGUCCAUGCCGUAAACGUUGGGCACUAGGUGUGGGGAACAUUCCACGUUUUCCGCGCCGUAGCUAACGCAUUAAGUGCCCCGCCUGGGGAGUACGGCCGCAAGGCUAAAACUCAAAGGAAUUGACGGGGGCCCGCACAAGCGGCGGAGCAUGCGGAUUAAUUCGAUGCAACGCGAAGAACCUUACCAAGGCUUGACAUAUACUGGACCGCAUCAGAGAUGGUGUUUCCCUUCGGGGCUGGUAUACAGGUGGUGCAUGGUUGUCGUCAGCUCGUGUCGUGAGAUGUUGGGUUAAGUCCCGCAACGAGCGCAACCCUCGUUCUAUGUUGCCAGCGGUUCGGCCGGGGACUCAUAGGAGACUGCCGGGGUCAACUCGGAGGAAGGUGGGGAUGACGUCAAAUCAUCAUGCCCCUUAUGUCUUGGGCUUCACGCAUGCUACAAUGGCCGGUACAGAGGG
rnacentral:rRNA from 1 species